rnacentral:rRNA from 1 species
AUUGAACGCUGGCGGCAUGCUUUACACAUGCAAGUCGAACGGCAGCACGGACUUCGGUCUGGUGGCGAGUGGCGAACGGGUGAGUUAUACAUCGGAACGUGCCCAGUUGUGGGGGAUAACUACUCGAAAGAGUAGCUAAUACCGCAUGAGAACUGAGGUUGAAAGCAGGGGAUCGUAAGACCUUGCGCAACUGGAGCGGCCGAUGGCAGAUGAGGGAGUUGGUGGGAUAAAAGCUUACCAAGCCGACGAUCUGUAGCUGGUCUGAGAGGACGACCAGCCACACUGGGACUGAGACACAGCCCAGACUCCUACGGGAGGCAGCAGUGGGGAAUUUUGGACAAUGGGCGAAAGCCUGAUCCAGCAAUGCCGCGUGCAGGAUGAAGGCCUUCGGGUUGUAAACUGCUUUUGUACGGAACGAAAAGCUUCGGGCUAAUACCCUGGAGUCAUGACGGUACCGUAAGAAUAAGAAGCACCGGCUAACUACGUGCCAGCAGCCGCGGUAACAC